CAGGGUUUGAACUCACAUCCCCUGCAUUGGAAGGUGGAUUCUUAACCACUGGACUACCAGGGAAGUUCCACAAUGGUGAAUUUUUAUGUGGGUGACGAGCCAUAUGAAUGUUGGAAAUGAGAAACCUUUCUGCAGAGGGUCACCCUCAGAUCACCUACUACCCAGCAGUGCCCUCAUGGAAGCCAGUCCAAGAGAAAGCACACUUUUUCUGAUCAAGGCCACACCAAGACAAUAGCACUCUGCCUGGGGGAAGAAUUUUGUGCCCUUUC
rnacentral:lncRNA from 1 species